GGUGUGAUGGCGUGGAUCGAUCAGAGCAAAGGGGGGAGAAGACAAACCCUAACUUCAUGAAAUUCUCAAGAAUUGAAAGAGAUUAGGAGCCCAAACUAAUGCAUGAACUCGAAACCUCAAUCAUCUAAGCUUGUACAACAAGCGGAACGUGUCAAGGAGAGGUCAAGCAUAGGAGGAUAACGGGUCAAGAUAAGGCAAGAUGACAAAUACACUUAUUGGAGUACUCGAGGUAUGGGGUCGUUGGCUUCAUGAAGAAAUGGAGCUGGAUUUGGAUAAGAGUAUUUAAGAAAGCGCUUGGACAAUUCCACGACUACUUUAUAGAAUGCUCUACGAAAUUUUAUUAUAUAGUUUAAUGUUGAAUGGUAUGUUGAUAACUAAUGGUUUGGUUGUACGUGGUGUCCACAGGUAUCACUUGGGUUUUCUCUACUUUUAUUGAAGUGAAGCGGACUUAGUUCGAGUUGAGAGCAAGGAUUGUACGGGCUAGAAUGGUCACAUAGUGUAACUCAUAUAGGUUUUGAAGUAUUAAUGUUAUAAAACGUUAUAAAUCCGUUUUAAUGAAUAUAUGGCAUUUCGCAUUUGAACUUUCAUGUGUUUGAUAUGUCUAUUAAAGAACGAAAUUUUUGGGCUCUUGUUUUCCGCUGCGUCGUAUUUUAAGUUAUUACGCGUUAGUCUUACAGGGAAUUGUUCUUAUUACGAACGGGUCAUGCCCGAAUUUUGUUAAAUAAUAGUAUGAUAAUAUUACAUUUUGGAAUGUGUAAUUUGGGCGUAACAAGUUGGUAUCAGAGCCCUGGUUUGAGAGAAUUAAGUACGAGAGUAUAAGUACUUGAACUCAAACCUGUGUGCUCUUGUGAUAAGGAACCCGUACAAUCCAUGACUCGAUCAAGAUCUAAAGGUAGAAAUGGAACGAAAAUGUGUAAGUAUGUAUUAGAUUAUGUAUUUGAAAGAAACUAAUAGUGUGUUAUGUGCAAGGUAAGCUUAAGAUCUUGAAGAGGAUGAUCCGUGAAUACAGAAUGGGAUGAACGCUAAGGCGGGCAAAGGUGCAAAUAGGCAAAUUAACCCCAGGUACACAUUACUAAUAUGUAUGAGUACCGAUGUCAAAAGAAAAAGGAAGGGGUCUCCUUGGGAGGGAAAUUAUUAAACGAAAGACAAUGAUGUGGUCUUGGGGAAGUUUUAGAAAUGUGCACGAAACUGAAACCCAUUUCUCGGGCAUAAGGCGAUGAUUACACGAAGGCACGAAACUAGUGUGUGAAUUGCGCACCUGGCCAAUACGCAAGAAGCAUAUGACGUUCGUGAGACCGUGGCAAUUAUUGCAGGUAUGUCCGGUAGAACUGGGUAGCAGGUGGGCGCUAUGUUGUAGCGAAUCCGAAAUAGCAAAUCCAUUGCGGAUUUGGUUAUGCUAACGAAGGUUAUGAAAAGUUAUGCGAGUCGACCGGUUCUAGCGAACAAGUCGAAUAAGAAUAAGCUACCAUCCGUUUUGAACGGGUGAUUUUGAAUGCUCUAAUGAAUGCUAGAAGCUUAAUCCGUUAUACGGAUUGAAAGAAGAAGUUAUGAUUAAAUGUGAAAAACCCAAUUAUUUGGGUAGUGGAAAAUGUGUAUGCUUAACUCUCGUUGAGAGUGUUUAUGCCAAACCCAAUUAUUUGGGUAGUGGAAAAUGUGUAUGCUUAACUCUCGUUGAGAGUAUUUAUGCCAAACCCAAUUAUUUGGGUAGUGGAAUGUGUAUGCUUAACUCUCGUUGAGAGUGUUUAUGCCAAACCCAAUUAUUUGGGUAGUGGAAUGUGUAUGCUUAACUCUCCUUGAGAGUGUUUAUGCCGAAACCCAAUUAUUUGGGUAGUCGAAUGUGUAUGCUUAACUCUCUUUGAGAGUGUUUAUGCCAAACCCAAUUACUUGGGUAGUCGAAUGUGUAAGAAAGAAGAAAGCUCAUAUGUGGAUGGAACUAAAAUGAAGUGAUUAUGAUUCGACAACUGAGAUGACUAACUUUAAAAUCUUGUUGCCGAAGGUAGGUAAAACUUUAAGUUUUUGCUAGAGCACAUGUAAGAAAGAAAAGGUACGAAUGAUAUGUUUGAAGCCGAUAGUGUGUAAGUUAAGAUUUUUCCUUAAGGCGGAUGUGGGAUUUUAAGUUCAUAUGAUAGAAUGUGAAUUUACAAGCGUGUAAGAAGAAACGGGAGGUUAAACGGGUAAACGGUUCAAAAGACACGCGCGUUUUAGUGCGUUCGGACGACGAAACGGAUCUGCAGUAAAGGGACUUUUCUAGAGGCCGUCGCCGACGGGUUCCCACCCCGUCGCCGACGGGCUCCCAAAAGUGUGAAAGAGGCCGACGGCCUAACCGACUGGUUACGGGUUAAAUUGGACGACGGGCAUUUUAAGAGGCCGUCGCCGACGGGUGCCCACCCCGUCGCCGACGGGCUGUCUAGCCCACUUCUCCGUUUUGCUUAAUUUUGCAUUUCCAAAUGAUCCGUAACGCAUUCCGAUGAUUCGUAAAGUUUCUUAUGAGCAUAUAGGGAUGUACAUAAGUAGAUAAGCGUGUAAGUAUGUUUAUAUGUAACCGUAUAUGUACGUAGAACUUAUGCAAGUAGGUAUGCGCGAAAGUAUGUAAGUUUAUAGUGUGGGAACAAGUACUAGUUAUGUAUGUAUAAAUGUGUAUGUAUAGAUAUCGGUUUAUGUAGGUACGCAAGUAUUUAUAUAAGAGCACAAGCAUCAUGCGAAUGAAUAUGAAAAUGUGUACGUAUGUAUGCAUGAUGAUAUGUAUGAGCGUAUGCAUGUAUGCGAAAAAUAUAGGAAAUGUGUGUACGUAUGUAGAUGUAUAAAUAUAUGAGUAUGUAAGUACAUAUAUGAUGUAUGAGUAGAUUGAAAUAAAUCGAUUUAUUUCGAUUAGUAAAUGUAUGAAUGUAAUAUGCUUAAAUAGGAAAUUAGAAACAAGCCGUAGACUUAAGUUUGUAUGAAUAAUAAUUGUAUACAAUUGGAAUAGAUUCAAUGAAUGAAAUGCAAGGGAUGAUAUGUGCUAGAAACUAGCAAUAUGAAAUGAAGGACACUAAUAAGAGCUCUGGAGCAGAAUCUAACAUAAGUAUAGUUAUGAAAGUAACUUACUUAUUAUAAGGGCAUAGGAACGAUGUGUACGAUUACGUACAUACACGAAUUAAACAUUUGCCAAGAUCCCAAAUGCGUUUAGGUUGUAGUAAGUAUAGUGGAUGAACAACUUGAAAGAGGUAAGAGUAGAAUGGUCUAGUUUGAAUGAGAAAGGUUUCGGGGACGAAACCUCUUUUAAGGGGGGUAGACUUGUAACGCCCCAAAAUUAUGCAAAUUAAUUAUGUUACUUAAGAUGUCUAGUCAUGUAUUAUUUUACCUAGUUAAGUAUGUAUAUGUUAGUAACUUGAUUAGAAGGAAGGUUACAUGACAAAUAAAAUAUCUAAGUAAAUAGGAGGACUAAACUUGUUAAAAGGUUGAAAGU
rnacentral:lncRNA from 1 species